CCUACGGGAGGCAGCAGUGGGGAAUAUUGCACAAUGGGGGAAACCCUGAUGCAGCGACGCCGCGUGAGUGAAGAAGUAAUUCGUUAUGUAAAGCUCUAUCAGCAGGGAAGAAAAUGACGGUACCUGAGUAAGAAGCCCCGGCUAACUACGUGCCAGCAGCCGCGGUAAUACGUAGGGGGCAAGCGUUAUCCGGAUUUACUGGGUGUAAAGGGAGCGUAGACGGGCCAGCAAGUCUGAUGUGAAAACCCGGGGCCCAACCCCGGGAGUGCAUUGGAAACUGCGGGCCUGGAGUGCCGGAGAGGUAAGCGGAAUUCCUAGUGUAGCGGUGAAAUGCGUAGAUAUUAGGAGGAACACCAGUGGCGAAGGCGGCUUACUGGACGGUAACUGACGUUGAGGCUCGAAAGCGUGGGGAGCAAACAGGAUUAGAUACCCGGGUAGUC
rnacentral:rRNA from 1 species